UACAGAGGUCCCAAGCGUUGUUCGGAUUCAUUGGGCGUAAAGGGUGCGUAGGCGGCGCGGUAAGUCGGGUGUGAAAUCUCGGGGCUUAACUCCGAAACUGCAUUCGAUACUGCCGUGCUUGAGGACUGGAGAGGAGACUGGAAUUUAUGGUGUAGCGGUGAAAUGCGUAGAUAUCGUAAGGAAGACCAGUGGCGAAGGCGGGUCUCUGGACAGUUCCUGACACUGAGGCACGAAGGCCAGGGGAGCAAACGGG
rnacentral:rRNA from 1 species